rnacentral:rRNA from 1 species
AGAGUUUGAUCCUGGCUCAGAUUGAACGCUGGCGGCAUGCCUAACACAUGCAAGUCGAACGGCAGCACAGUAGAGCUUGCUCUAUGGGUGGCGAGUGGCGGACGGGUGAGUAAUGCAUCGGGAUCUACCCAAGCGUGGGGGAUAACGUAGGGAACUUACGCUAAUACCGCAUACGCCUAAGGGAGAAAGCGGGGGACCGA